rnacentral:rRNA from 1 species
AAUGAACGCUGGCGGCAGGCCUAAAGCAUGCAAGUCGAACGCCUGUAGCAAUACAGGAGUGGCGCACGGGUGCGUAACACGUGGGAAUAUGCCUAUUGGUACGGAACAGCUCCGGGAAACUGGAAUUAAUACCGUAUGGUCCCUUCGGGGUAAAGAUUUAUCGCCAAUAGAUUGGCCCGCGGUGGAUUAGCUAGUUGGUAGGGUAAUGGCCUACCAAGGCGACGAUCCAUAGCUGGUCUGAGAGGACGAUCAGCCACACUGGGACUGAGACACGGCCCAGACUCCUACGGGAGGCAGCAGUUAGGAAUAUUGGACAAUGGGCGCAAGCCUGAUCCAGCCAUGCCGCGUGAGUGAUGAAGGCCUUCGGGUUGUAAAACUCUUUAGCCGAUGAAUAUAAUGACUGUAGUCGGAAAAUAAGCCCCGGCUAACUUCGUGCCAGCAGCCGCGGUAA